rnacentral:pre_miRNA from 1 species
AUGAAGUGUGACAUGCCCGUUGGGGUCAAUACUCUGAUGAAUUAUUUAUUAUUUAAUUGCUUUGGGUUAAUGGGGUGUUACACCUUA